CCGUGGAGCUCUGAGGGCCCGGAUAUGGCUUCAGGUCCGGGCGUGGGGAGCGCCCGGGGCCGCCUGAGUGACGGUCACCGGCGGCUCAGGCUGUGGUUGAGAUGAGGGAACUGAGGCCUAAAGAAGUUAAAGAACUUGACCAAGAUCACACAAAUUGGGGGUGUAAUAGAGAUUCAACCAUCCAGCUCCAGCGUCUUCAUUUUUAAACCAAGAUGGCAGUCAGCUGUGUCACCUGCACUGUUUACAGCCCUCGGAUGAGUGUGUGUUUGAUUCAAAAAUCCAAGCAGCCAAGAACCCCUGAGCUGGCAGAACACACUUGGUUUUAGGAGUAACACAGUCCACCUCCAAAAACUCUUUGCCUGGAGUCACCAGGUAACAUUUUUGUCCUACCUGUGCUCUCUUGCUCUCUCUCUUUUUCUCUCUCUGUAACAUUUAAGAAUAUCUUGCAGAUAUCACAACCAUUUCCAAACAUUUCAGCCUGUGUCCUAAAACAAGGACAUCCUCUUAGAUAACCAUAAUAUAAUUAUCUAAUUUAACAUUGAUAUUUUGACAUCGUUGAAGAGUGCAGGCCACUAUUCUGUAGAAUGUGUUUUACUUGAGUUUGACAUUCCUUUGUGAUUAGAUUUAGGUCAUGCAUUUCUGCCAGGAAUGGUGAUGUAUCCUUCCCAGGACAUCAACAUGAUGCUGGUUUGUCUUGUUACUUAUGUUAUUAACCUUCAGUUGAUAUCAUGGUAGUGUCUGCCAGAUUUUCCCAUUGUAAAGGUACCAUUUUUCCCCUUUAAAAUUAAAAAGUAAUUCAUAUAAAUAAAUCUGUUUCUCAUUUAACUUCCA